UGAAAAAAUUAGUUAAAAAGAUAGAGAUAUUUUCGUAAUAAAAUUCAUAUUUAAUUUAAAAUUUAAAAUUUUAUUUUGAUCCUUUUUAAUAUUUAAAUUCAAAAGCGAUGAUAUAUUUAAUUCAAAAUUAUGAUAGGUUGAAAAAACUUUUGAGAAACAAAGAGAAAAGAUUAAAAUUUUGAUGAGAUAUUUGAAAAAUGCGUGGAUACUAUGUGUGAGAAAGAUUAACCGGAUAUUAUGUAGGUAGUUGACGUAUAUGAUAGGUAGAUUAAUGAGAUAUUUGAGAAAUUUACGGAUAUUAUAUUGAGAAAGGAUUGAUGGGUACGUAUAUUAUGAGUGAGAAGGAAAAUAUUUGAGAAACAUGUAGAUAGAAAAUGUGAUAUAAAUGUAAGGGUAUUAUUGUCACAAAAAGUGACAGAUACUUUUAUUUUCAAUCGUUAGAUAAGAUCUAAUGGCAAAAAAUUAAUAUCUUUAUUUGAGAAUAAAUUAUUACUUAGUGAAUUAUUUGAAAUGAUUGGUUGAAAAUUACUGGACAUGAAAAUAUUAGUAAAAAUGAUAGAGGCAUUUUUGGAAAAAGAAAAAAAUUCAAAACUCACGCUUUUAUAAGUAGUAUAGAUAAAAGACGUACUCUAUUUUAAAUUAUAUAUAUAAAAAUUAGUUGUAAUCUUCAACAUCAUAUAUUAUUUAGAAAUCUAUAAAAGCAUCUUGUUUAAUUACGUGAGAUGGUAAGAGUUUCGUAAUGUUAAAAAAUUUAAGUAAUUAAGAUAUGUUUAACUAAUGUUUUUUUUUUUGAGAUAUUUUAAAAAUACGGAGUCCUUUGUGCUUAUAAGAUAUGU
rnacentral:lncRNA from 1 species